UUUUUUGGUAAAUUAGUGACACAAACUUUCUUUCGAGGUAAAUAUAUUUCUCGUACAGUGGCAAUGCAAAUGGCUGUAGUCACCCCGUCACCAGCCAAUCACAGUGUCAGUCGAUUACUUGUCGGAUUGGAAGUUGCAGCUCUCUGCCGUGAAAUCGCAAUGAACAACAAGAAGAGUCCUAAAUGUCUGAUAAGACUUACUCAACGGAAGAUCUGCAGACUGAUAGUAUGUCGGAUUUUAAUAUGGACUAAGAAACUUCGCAAGGCUGAAAGGCGUGAAACCGGAGAUAGACUACGAGUCAUUCACGCUGUACGGAGUCAGUGCCUUGAACUGCGAAAAGUG